rnacentral:tRNA from 1 species
GCCUGGGUGGCUUAGUUGGUUAAGCGUCCAACUUCGGUUUGGGUCAUGAUCUCACGGCUGGUGAGUUCGAGCCCCGCAUCGGGCU